AAUAAACUAAUUUUUCACUUUUUACCUUUAAUUUUUGAUUCUUCGUCUUAUUUAAUUUUUUUUAAUUAAUAUUUUUGUUUUUAUUAGAUAAUAAAUCAUGAAUAAUAUUUUACGUGUGACUAAUUUUUUUCUAAUUUUCUAAAAUUUUUUCAAAUAAUACGGAUAGUUAAACGUUAGACACGGAAAUCGGAGAAUUCGUUUUUU
rnacentral:pre_miRNA from 1 species